rnacentral:rRNA from 1 species
GAUGAACGCUGACAGAAUGCUUAACACAUGCAGUCACUGAUUGUGGCGGACGGGUGAGUAACGCGUAAAGAACUUGCCUCACAGGUAGGGACAACAUUUGGAAACGAAUGCUAAUACCUAAUACUGUGAGAGAGCUUUGCGUACCAUUAGCUAGUUGGAGCGGUAACGGCUCACCACGGCGAUGAUGGGUAGCCGGCCUGAGAGGGUGAUCGGCCACGAGGGGACUGGGAGACGGCCCUUACUACUACGGGAGUCAGCAGUGGUGAAGUAUGGACAAUGGACCAAAGUCGGAUCCAGCAAUUCUGUGUGCACGAUGAAUUUUUCGGAAUGUAAAGUGAUUUCAGUUGGGAAGCGGUACCAACAGAAGAAGUGACGGCUAACUACGUGCCAGCAGCCGCGGUAAUUC